UCAGCAAGUCGAGCAGUGAAUUGGAUAUACUGAAUACAGAAUUUGUAUACAACAGAGCGUGUGUUAAUACUUACUGUUUUAAUAUACUUGUCACAGUUUGAGCUUGUUCUGCAAUCUCAUUAGUCAUUACUUUGUCAGUGUUUUAGGCGCAUUUGAUGGAUGUUAGGUUACAAAAAUUGUAUGAAAAUAUGGUCCAAGCUUGUCAGUCAUCCUGUUAUCUUUCAGAAAGGACCAUAUAUUGUUGCUAAGUCUUUAAUCAUUACUUUGUAGCAGAAAUUGUAUGAAAAAUAAUGGUUAAUUCAACCUUGUCAGUCAUCAUGCUGUCAUCUUUCUGA
rnacentral:lncRNA from 1 species